rnacentral:rRNA from 1 species
UACGGAGGGUGCGAGCGUUGUCCGGAAUCACUGGGCGUAAAGAGCGUGUAGGCGGCCAUACAGGUCAGCUGUGAAAACUCGAGGCUCAACCUCGAGACGUCGGUUGAAACCGUAUGGCUAGAGUCCGGAAGAGGAGAGUGGAAUUCCCGGUGUAGCGGUGAAAUGCGCAGAUAUCGGGAAGAACACCCGUGGCGAAGGCGGCUCUCUGGGACGGUACUGACGCUGAGACGCGAAAGCGUGGGGAGCGAACAGG